rnacentral:rRNA from 1 species
GACGAACGCUGGCGGCGUGCUUAACACAUGCAAGUCGAACGGAAAGGCCCUUCGGGGUACUCGAGUGGCGAACGGGUGAGUAACACGUGGGUGAUCUGCCCUGCACUUUGGGAUAAGCCUGGGAAACUGGGUCUAAUACCGAAUAGGACCACGCGCUUCAUGGUGUGUGGUGGAAAGCUUUUGCGGUGUGGGAUGGGCCCGCGGCCUAUCAGCUUGUUGGUGGGGUAAUGGCCUACCAAGGCGACGACCGGUAGCCGGCCUGAGAGGGUGACCGGCCACACUGGGACUGAAAUACCGCCCAGACUCCUACCGGAAGCAGCAGUGGGGAAUAUUGCACAAUGGGCGCCAACCUGAUGCAACCACCCCCCCUGAAGGAAGACCGGCCUCCGGUUGUAAACCUCUUUCCAUAAGGACCAAACGCAAGUGACCGUACCUAUUAAAAAAGCACCGGGCCACUACGUGCCAGCAGCCGCGGUAAUACCUAAGGUGCGAGCGUUUGUCGGAAUUACUGGGCGUAAAGAGCUCGUAGUGGUUUGUCGCGUUGUUCGUGAAAACUCACAGCUUAACUGUGGGCGUGCGGGCGAUACGGGCAGACUAGAGUACUGCAGGGGAGACUGGAAUUCCUGGUGUAGCGGUGGAAUGCGCAGAUAUCAGGAGGAACACCGGUGGCGAAGGCGGGUCUCUGGGCAGUAACUGACGCUGAGGAGCGAAAGCGUGGGGAGCGAACAGGAUUAGAUACCCUGGUAGUCCACGCCGUAAACGGUGGGUACUAGGUGUGGGUUCCUUCCUUGGGAUCCGUGCCGUAGCUAACGCAUUAAGUACCCCGCCUGGGGAGUACGGCCGCAAGGCUAAAACUCAAAGGAAUUGACGGGGGCCCGCACAAGCGGCGGAGCAUGUGGAUUAAUUCGAUGCAACGCGAAGAACCUUACCUGGGUUUGACAUGCACAGGACGCCGGCAGAGAUGUCGGUUCCCUUGUGGCCUGUGUGCAGGUGGUGCAUGGCUGUCGUCAGCUCGUGUCGUGAGAUGUUGGGUUAAGUCCCGCAACGAGCGCAACCCUUGUCCUAUGUUGCCAGCGGGUUAUGCCGGGGACUCGUAGGAGACUGCCGGGGUCAACUCGGAGGAAGGGGGGGAUGACGUCAAGUCAUCAUGCCCCUUAUGUCCAGGGCUUCACACAUGCUACAAUGGCCGGUACAGAGGGCUGCGAUGCCGUGAGGUGGAGCGAAUCCUUUCAAAGCCGGUCUCAGUUCGGAUCGGGGUCUGCAACUCGACCCCGUGAAGUCGGAGUCGCUAGUAAUCGCAGAUCAGCAACGCUGCGGUGAAUACGUUCCCGGGCCU